GAGAAUUGAGAACUAGGCUUAGUACCACAAAGUUUUCUUCUCUAAAGUUGAGAGUUUAGUAUUAUUUUAUUCUCCGUUGAGAAUAAAAUAAGUUUUUUUUUAUUUCCUACCGUUACGCUGUCGGAAUCCGUACUUGAGAUUUCUUUUUAUUUCAGGUUCUUAUUUUAUUUUAUGGUCUUAUUUAUUUUUUGUCUUUAUUUU
rnacentral:lncRNA from 1 species